rnacentral:rRNA from 1 species
GAUGAACGCUGGCGGCGUGCCUAAUACAUGCAAGUCGAGCGAACGGACGAGAAGCUUGCUUCUCUGAUGUUAGCGGCGGACGGGUGAGUAACACGUGGAUAACCUACCUAUAAGACUGGGAUAACUUCGGGAAACCGGAGCUAAUACCGGAUAAUAUUUUGAACCGCGUGGUUCAAAAGUGGAAGACGGUCUUGCUGUCACUUAUAGAUGGAUCCGCGCUGCAUUAGCUAGUUGGUAAGGUAACGGCUUACCAAGGCAACGAUGCAUAGCCGACCUGAGGGGGUGAUCGGCCACACUGGAACUGAGACACGGUCCAGACUCCUACGGGAGGCAGCAGUAGGGAAUCUUCCGCAAUGGGCGAAAGCCUGACGGAGCAACGCCGCGUGAGUGAUGAAGGUCUUCGGAUCGUAAAACUCUGUUAUUAGGGAAGAACAUAUGUGUAAGUAACUGUGCACAUCUUGACGGUACCUAAUCAGAAAGCCACGGCUAACUACGUG